rnacentral:lncRNA from 1 species
UCUCCUAUGCUACUUCUGACACAUAUUUCUCUCUUUCCAAUUUCUCUUCUCUCUCUCACCAUUACAACAUAAUUAUAAGUAACUCUCUCUCUCACCUUUUUCUCUCUCUUCUAUUUCUGUCACUCUUCACUAUUUCACUUCUCUCUCUUCACUAUUUCACUAUUUCAAAACAAGAAAAAUCCCCUCAGUUCAGAUCAACAAAGUUGCAAAUAACUGUAUUAACUGCCAUUUGCCCAGCGCAAUGAUAGAUCUAACUCUAAUGACCAAUCCCCUCAACUCAAUUAAUUACAUUUUGCUGAGCGAAUUUAUGCAGAUCUGGAAAAAAUUGAGUGGGCUUUCUCCAUGGGCCUUGUAUGAAUUUUGUAGCAUUGAACACUAUAUAUAGGUGUCCGUACAGUCACUUUAGAGGGAGACUCUUUAGUCAGUUCAUCUAGUUUUCAAUUUCUUUAAACACUUUCCAAAUUUUGCCUUUUAGAAUUACGAGUUUCUCUCCAUUUUCUAACUUUCUUAACAAGCUUUCUUCUACAUUUGAAGCAUUUUCAGAUUCAACAAUUUAAUUCAGUUCUAGAUUUCUAAUUUCUAAUCAAUUUUUUUU